rnacentral:ribozyme from 1 species
CACGAGCAAGCUGGUCGAGGAUGUUAUUGGAAAUGCUCUCAUGUCCAUUCUGAUUUAUCCCUACGAGGGGUGGAGAUUCAAGCACGGCCAGCA